CCCUAAUAUAAAAGAAGAAUUAUGUGAAUGAAAAUGAAAGUUUUUGGCGGUUAAUUGUUAUUUAGAGGAGCUUGUUACUUUAGUCAAGAAUUUACUCUUUAUAUUUUAUAUAUAUAUAAAGUUUAUUCAUCUCCGUUAUUUAGGUAACUAAUCAGCGAAAUUUAUUUUACAAUCUCAGGUCUAGAUGUAGCAUUUAUUAUAGGUAAUUAGCUACAGUUGUAAAACAAUGGAUUUUUGUUUAAAAUCAAAAGGAAAAUGAAUUUGAUUGUAAUUUUAGUUAAAAGGCUAAGAUGAAUUAUUAUAAUUANUGUA
rnacentral:rRNA from 1 species